AUGAAUCUAUAUUAUUCCAUUCCAAUUUCUUCCCGAAACUUCCCAAGAAAAAUCCCGAAUUGGAUCCAAAAUUGACGGGUUAAUGUGAGCUUAUCCAUGCGCGAUAAGCAAAUUAAUGUGACUUGUGAGGUACAACAAUUAUUAGGAAAUAAUCGAGUUAGAGCUGUAGCUAUGAGUGCUACGGACGGGUUGAUGAGAGGAAUGGAAGUGAUUGACACGGGAGCUCCUCUCAGUGUUCCGGUCGGUGGAGCUACUCUCGGACGAAUUCUUUUGAUUCAACCAUCUCUUUCUCAACUCAGCAACUUGAAGUAUUAA
rnacentral:rRNA from 1 species